AUAGUGUUAAUUGCCUAGAACAGGGCUGUCCAACCUGCGGCCCCCCCAAGAUGUUGCUGAACUACAACUCCCAUGAUUAUCUGUUUCAUUGAAAGAAUCAUGGGAGUUGUAGUUCAGCAACAUCUGGGGGGCCGCAAGUUGGACAGCCCUGGUCUAGAACCAAUAAUAU